CAACAGCUAGAAUGGCAAACGUCGCUGCAAGAAAUCGAAAGAUGUCCCAGCACCAAGUUACUUGAUAAACAUUUCAGUGCGAAUCACGUUUUCCGAUUCGCGUGCUUCCCUCUCGGGGUCCGAACUAGUUGCGGCAGCGAAAGAAGUAUUCAUGUGUGCAGUUGUCAUCGUGCUUGAACUUAGCUAGUGAUCCAAGUGCGGCCCGCUCAAACGGAGGGAGGAGCAAACAUUGCCAGUAGUCGGAGGAGACACGAGAACGGCGCGGUUUCAAGGACUCGGAGAUCAGAACGGGGAUCCACGGCCCAUAUUGGGGAUGAUUGCAGCCGCCAAGAUGGACAAGAAACGGGUGUACAAGGUGGUGCUGACGGGAGGUCCCUGCGGUGGUAAAACUACUGGUCAGUCACGACUAUGUACAUUCUUCGAAAAUCUAGGAUGGAAGGUAUUCCGAGUGCCUGAAACGGCCACAGUACUUCUCAGUGGUGGCGUUAAAUUUUCGGAAUUAACAAAGGAAGAAGCAUAUAAAUUCCAGGAGAAUCUGAUUAAAACGAUGAUUCAAAUUGAGAACACAUACUUUGAAUUGGGUCAAGUGUGCAAACGAAAUUGCCUUAUAAUCUGUGACCGAGGUGUGAUGGAUGCAUCAGCCUAUUUAACCAAAGCGCACUGGGAAAAAAUGAUGUCAGCCAAUUCUUGGAACCCAAUCGAACUCAGAGAUAAUAGAUACAAUCAAAUUCUACAUUUGGUUUCUGCUGCUAAUGGUGCUGAAGAAUUUUAUACAAUUGAGGAUCAUGCAUGUCGUUCAGAAGGCGUUGAAUUAGCACGAGAUUUAGAUUACAAAUCGGCUGCUGCAUGGAUCGGGCAUCCGUACUUCGAUGUGAUUGAUAACUCCACCGAUUUUGAGACAAAGAUGAAUCGUCUAAUAGAGUCGGUAUGCCAAAAAUUAGGUAUCGAUGUUGGAGAUCGGUUGAAAACCACAUCAAGGAAACUCAAAUUUUUGGUUGCGGGACCUUUACCACCGGACACAGAAUUCCCGGCGUUCCAAGAUUUCGAUGUUGUGCAUCAUUACCUACAAUCAUCUGGACCAAAGGUGCAAGCCCGACUGCGCAAACGGGGCCAAAAGAACCAUUGGAGUUAUAUACAUACAAUUCGUCGUCCUCACUUGCACGGCCAGUCCGUUGAAGUGAAAACACAGUUAACACAACGUGACUAUAUGAAUUUGUUAACUCAGAGAGAUAAUGCUCAUUUUACCAUCUUCAAAAAACGGAGAUGCUUUUUGGUUAAUAAUCAAUACUUUCAGUUGGACAUAUAUAAAGAGCCAAGCCAUCCAAGGUGUAAAGGCCUGAUCUUGUUGGAGACUUAUUCCUCGCUAACGGGCGAUGCCCUGAACAGCUGCUUGCCAAAGUUCUUAAACAUUGUGAAAAAUGUAACAGGUGAUCCCGAUUAUUCGAUGUUUAAUUUGUCGUUGAGGGAGGAUUGGAGCAACUCGAAGAAAUUCUGCCAUUCAUUGCAUGGAGCAGUAUUGAAGAGUAAUAAGUAACUUAAUCAAUUUUUUGUUCCAAUUUAUAAUGAAACUGCAAAUGAUUCACGUGUGUAGGUGACGAAGGGGAUGCAAUUGAAAAGAAAACAAAUGGUGUUUCACUUUCAAUAGUAAAUGGUAAAAUGCAAGGCUAGCGAGAAGAAGAGAGUCUAAUCAAAUUGUUAGGAAAAUUUCGAUACACUCGGUAAGUAAAUCAAAAAGUUGUUUCAUUCUUAUAAAUUUAAACUUCUGAACGAAUUCAUUAAAUCCAAUAUAAGUUGAUUAAAAACAUCAAUUGAUUGAAACAAGGAAAACGACAAGUAUAAAUAACUAAUCUCCAAAUACUUGGAAAAGAAUUCCAAGCAAUUCAUUGUAUGGACUGAUCUGUAUUCAAGACUAAUAGUGCUUGAUUUUUGUAUUGUAGAAAGAAAGUGCUAAUUUCUUAAUUUUAAAAUAGAAAAAAAUACGUUCAUUAAAAAGUAUUGAAACCAUUGUACAGCAUUGGCGACAUAAAUGUUUUGUUAUUAAAUGUCAUCCAUUAUUUCGCAUAAGUUUAGCAGUUUUGCUGACUGUAAUCAGUAGGGCCAAAAGUAGUUAUAAUUUCUCAAUAAUUUUCGAAACGAAUGUAAUAAUUUUUUGCACAUUUGUUCAUUGCAGGUACUUAAUAAAAGCGAUUGGUUAUAAAUUGAAAGCAAAAUUAUUAAUUAAAAGAAUUUUAAAUUGUAAGAUAGUUCUACCUAGUAAUUUUACUGUUAAAUAGUGUUAUGUACUUAGUAAAGUGUAAGAUUUUAAAUUAAUGAAGGACUAAUAAAGUGAAUAAUAGUUUAAAA